GUGUAACAAGUGCAUAUCAAUACAUUUACAAAUCAAUAAACAUAUGGCAACCAAUGUACCGUUAUAUAACGUUCAUGGAUCGACCCCCGCCCACCCGAUCUCCCGUGGACAGCAGUGGGCGUGGAUUCCACGCUAUACCGUGGACCAGUCGGUGGGCGUGGACCACAGAUGUCCACCCAAUGCACACGACAUACCGUGGACAAGUGGACACGUGGGCGAGCGUGGACCGAAAUGUCCACCCAAUGCACACGCCCACCGUGGGCACGUGGAAAUGACAAAGUCCACGUGGGCUGUAGUGUAUACUAAA
rnacentral:lncRNA from 1 species